UUGGGAGGGGCAAGUCUGGUGCCAGCAGCCGCGGUAAUUCCAGCUCCCAAUAGCGUAUAUUAAAGGUUGUUGCAGUUGAAAAGCUCGUAGUUGAAUUUCGGGGUCAGCAGGUUGGUCGUGCCUCUGGUACGCACUGGUUUCGCUGAUUCCUCCUUUCUGAAGAACUGUAAUGUCAUUAAUUUGGUGUUGCAGGGAAACAGGACUGUUACUUUGAAAAAAUUAGAGUGUUUAAAGCAAGCUAACGCUUGAAUACAUUAGCAUGGAAUAAUGAAAUAGGACGUUUGAUCCUAUUUUGUUGGUUUCUAGGAUUGACGUAAUGAUUAAUAGGGAUAGUUGGGGGCAUUAGUAUUCAAUUGUCAGAGGUGAAAUUCUUGGAUUUAUUGAAGACUAACUACUGCGAAAGCAUUUGCCAAGGAUGUUUUCAUUAAUCAAGAACGAAAGUUAGGGGAUCGAAGACGAUCAGAUACCGUCGUAGUCUUAACCAUAAACUAUGCCCGACUAGGGAUCGGAUGAUGUUUAAUUUUUUAAUGACUCAUUCGGCGCCUUACGGGAAA
rnacentral:rRNA from 1 species